AAAAGAAACCGAUAAAAAUAUUUCUUUCGAUUACGGUUUUGCUUUGAGAAA
rnacentral:sRNA from 1 species